AGUUGAUAACCAUUAAAACUUUUGUAUAUAAAUUUGAGCUCCGUGUGCUUGAAAAUUCACAGACUCUGUAAACACAUAGACACAGUAAAACUUUACGUUUUGUGGCUCAUUUGGGGAAGAGAAUUGUUUGAAAUCUAGCAAAGCCUACCAACGAACAGUUUCGUAUAAAAUCACCAUGUUGAACACUGUAUAUCUAUUUACUUUAGUAUGUUUGAUCUCGACAGCAUUGGGUACCAGUAUUAGGAGAUCAAGUGGCUGUGAUACUGCUCAGCUGGAUAGGUGCACGGAAGCCAUGACAGAUGCAGAAAAAAUAUUUACAUUCGGUAAACGUGGUACCAACGGUCCUCUCUCAGAAUGUGGAUUAUACAAUGAUAUGGUUACUUGUUUGAAUAGAAAUAAUCUUCUAGCUAAUUGUGCUGGAACAGAAGCUUGGUUCAGUGCUAGAUUAGUGGUAGAUUCAUUUGGUUACAUGUGUGGUGGUGGUAGAAAUGAAACUUUAGCAAAUAUGGACUGUUUUGAUAACCCAGAUGUAGAAGAUGCUGUGUAUACUUGUAUUAAAAACUUUCAGUCUGAUAUGAAUUCAUCUGGUGAUGCUUGUAGUUCUGUGGGAAGAAUACCAGAUUGUGUUGCUCAUGAAACCCUACGUGUGUGUUCGCCUGGCGCGGCAUCCGCCAUGAAAGACAUCAUGCGCCAUGGUCUUAGAUCUCUUGAUGAAAUUUUUAACUGUUGAUUCAAACUUUAUAAGUCUGCUGUGGAUUUAUUGUGUGUUGUGUCGGGAUUAGGUCAGAACGGCCAUAAACGAUAACGACCAAAAUUCACUUUGGUCAAAAAUCAAAAUGGCAAUAAUUUGUUCAUAUCGGCUAAUAUUUUUGCUGUUUUGACCAAAUUUGUCGGCCGUUAUGGUAUAUGGCCGUUAUAUCCGUAACCCGUUCUGUCUGCAGUACAAUAACCACUAUAAACUAACUAACAACUAAUAUUGUGUUUUCACAGCCAAGGUCUAGUGUGAUAUGUUUAGUGACUAGUGACUAAUUAUUGAAGUUGAGAAAUAUAACAUGUUUGUAACUUUAAAUAAAAAAAAUAUUGUAAAGA